UUCCUCAAGGGGGCGCUAAGAAGAGAGAGACGAGGCGAAUGCUAACACUUUCACCAGUUGAAGCAGAAUGUGACUCUGUAAACGAUCGUAAAUGAAAGGCAAACGUGGAUUUUUUUUUUCUUUUGGAUGCCGUAUAUUUCCAGUCUGCAGAAGGCCUUCAUUAACCCCACAGAGCCGUGUGGAGUACGCUUUUGAUGGAUGCACUUUUUUGAAUUUCAAACAGGUGGUUUCCGUGCACUGCCAUUAUAAAGUUUUGGAGCAUCAGGGUGAUUAUUAAUAUAACUCUGAUUGUGUUCAUCGGAAAGAAAGAAGUCAUAUACACCUAGGAUGGCUUGAGGAUGUGGUCCUGUGGGCGUCAGUAUCACACAGUGAUCACAGUUCACACCUGCAGUGAAGCUCCUCCCACAACAAUUCACCAAUAAAUACUGGGAAUAUUCACAUCAUCCUACAAGAGAAGGACAAACUCCAGGUGUAGCAGCUGAAAUCUGUGUGACGGUUAAAGAUGGAGUUUAUUAAAGUGGAGAUUGAAGACAUGAGUGAUCCAGAACCAUCCAGAAUAAAACAUGAAGAUACUGAGGAACAAAUAGACUGGAUGGAGAUGAAACCGCAAAAACAUGAACUGAAUGAAGCAGAGGAGGAAAAGCAGAGCAUCAAAACUCAAAGAACAGAAGCUAAUAAACCGCACACCUGCUCUCAGUGUGGAAAGAGUUUCAGUCGAAAAGGAAACCUAAAGACACACAUGAGAGUUCACACUGGAGAAAAACUGUAUACAUGCUCUCAGUGUGGAAAGAGUUUUAGUCAAAAAGUACACCUUAAGAUACACAUAAAGAUUCACACUAGAGAAAAAACGUUUACAUGCACUCAGUGUGGAAAGGGUUUUGCUGGUGAAUCAGGUCUCAGAAAUCAUCUGCGUGUUCACUCUGGAGAAAAACAGUGUGAUCAGUGUGGUAAAGAUUUUAAUUCAUCAUCAAAUCUAAAAAAACACCUAAAAGUUCAUUCAGAUGAGAGGACUUCUGUGUGUUCUUUCUGUGGAAAGAUAUUUUCAAGUCUUCAUCAUUUUAAACUGCACCAGAAAACACAUAAAGAAUUGAGGGAUCAUGUGUGUUUGGAGUGUGGGAAGAGCUUUACUACAUCUGGUGAACUGAAACAGCACCAAAGAAUUCAUACUGGAGAAAAACCUUAUAAGUGCUCAUAUUGUGACAAGAGUUUCACUCGUUCUGAAAACCUGAAAGUACAUGAGCGAGUUCACACUGGAGAGAAGCCAUUCCACUGUACUCGGUGUGAGAAGAGUUUCAAAUCUAAAACUGAUCUCAAGAAUCAUCUGCUUCGUCACUCUGGAGAAAAACCAUUUAACUGUGAUCAGUGUGGUAAAAAGUUUAUUUCAUCAUCACAUCUAAAACAACACCUAAACGUUCAUUCAGGUGAGAGGCCUUAUGUGUGUUCCUUCUGUGGAAAGAGUUUUUCAUGGCUGGACAGUUUAAAACUCCACCAGAAAGCACAUAAUGAAGUGAGAGAUCAUGUGUGUUUGGACUGUGGGAAGAGCUUUAUUAGAGCUGACUAUCUGAAAGAACAUCACAGAAUUCAUACUGGAGAAAAACCUUACAAGUGCUCAUAUUGUGACAAGUGUUUUGCUCAGUCUGCACAUCUGAAAUCACAUGAGCGAGUUCAUACUGGAGAGAAGCCAUACUGUUGUACUCGGUGUGAGAAGAGUUUUAGACAUUUAUCAAGCCUUCUCACUCAUGUGAAAAUACGUUGCAAAUGUGGUCCUGUGGGCGUCAGUAUCACACAGUGAUCACAGUUCACACCUGCAGUGAAGCUCCUCCCACAACAAUUCACCAAUAAAUACUGGGAAUAUUCACAUCAUCCUACAAGAGAAGGACAAACUCCAGGUGUAGCAGCUGAAAUCUGUGUGACGGUUAAAGAUGGAGUUUAUUAAAGAGGAGACUGAAGACACGAGUGAUCCAGAACCAUCCAGAAUAAAACAUGAAGAUGAAAUAGACUGGAUGGAGAUGAAACCGCAAAGACAUGAACUGAAUGAAGCAGAGGAGGAAAAGCAGAGUAUCAAAACUCAAAGAACAAAAGCUAAUAGGCUGCACACCUGCUCUCAAUGUGGAACGAGUUUCAGUCUAAAAGGAAACCUAAAGACACACAUAACAUUUCACACUGGAGAGAGACCGUAUACAUGCUCUCAGUGUGGAAAGAGUUUCUGUCAAAAAGUACACCUUAAG